UUACAAAUCUAAGCUUAAACACCAAUAGGAGUAGAUUACUUCUUACAGUCGGUUUUAUUAGUUCAAGUGCUCCACAGACACCACUAGAUAAGCGACCGAUCGUCGUAAAUGCUUGACUUAAAUUCGACUCAAAAACCUCCUGAUCACUUCACUCACUCAAAUCAAACUCAGAUUCUGAACAAACCUAAUUUCAAGCAUAAGAACUGAAAAAUGCUGCAGACAAGGGUUUGGAGAUUUGUGGCAUGCCUAUGGGUAAAAGACACGGAUAAAUCAAUAUGCUGUAGAUGAUUACUGCCCUGUGUGCAUAAAAGUAUUGAAAUUCAAAAGCCUCAUAUGGUUUCAACAAGAAAUCACGUUUAUCCCGAUGCAUCAUUGGGUAGAAAUCAUGUUCUUUUUUCUUUUAAUGUUUCAACAGCUGAGUUUUCUAGAGUGGAUGAAAGUAGGGGAAGUGAUAGUUUUCUUGUAGAGUCCUCAAUAUCUGUGCAUACUGAUAGUUGUAGAUCCUCUGUUGGUAGUUGUAGUGCUAUGGGCGAUGAUUAUCAAAAUUUUCCCUUUAGGUUUUCUACACCACACAGUAACAAUAUAGAGGAUUGCUGUAGUGAUGCUGAAUCAUCUUCUAGAGUGGAUUAUGCGACUGAAGGAUGUCCACUUUCUUUAGAUGAGCGAUUGGGAGUAGAAUUCUACAGGUCAGAAUUAUCUACAUAUUGUUGAGAAUUUGUAUGCUUCGGGGCCUUUGCGUUGGGAAGAUGAAGCAACAUUGACAAAUCUACGUCGUACGAUUGAUAUUUCAGAUGGGGAGCAUUUGAUGGUGCAAAGAAAUUUGUUACCUGCUAAUAGUAUGCUUCUUGUCAGCUGACCUGAUUUAGUCUCUUUUUUCUCCUCUAAUAUAUUUUCCUUAAUUGAUGUCAAGAUGUUGUAAGGAAUAAAUGGCAUGAAAGAAAUGUAUAAUCUAGAUAAUUUUUGUUUAUCUUUUGAUUUA